UCUCCGUAGGUGAGUAACGACUACCCUUGAUCUCGUUUGUUGUGAAGUGCUACUAACUAAUUUUCGUCUAGGUGAACCUGCGGAGGGAUCAUUACCGAGUGAGGGCUCCGGCCCGACCUCCAAACAUUUUGACGUUACCAUCGCAGUUGCCUCGGGGGGCGACCCGGACUCGGUCGAGGACGGGCCACCCCCGGUGGACCCCUCGACUCUGCGUUUCGUGCGUCGGAGUCUCAUGGGAAAUUUGAAUCAAAACUUUCAACAACGGAUCUCUUGGUUCUGGCAUCGAUGAAGAACGCAGC
rnacentral:misc_RNA from 1 species